AGCCGGCUCCUUACCAUCCUCCUUACUACUACAAGUCUCCACCACCACCUUCUCCGGUUUACUACUACAAGUCUCCACCACCACCAACUCCAACUUAUGUCUAUAAAUCACCGCCUCCACCAACCCCAGCGUAUGUCUACAAAUCGCCUCCUCCUCCUACCCCAACAUACGUCUAUAAAUCUCCUCCACCACCAACUCCGACUUACGUCUACAAAUCACCACCACCGCCUACUCCAACGUAUGUGUAUAAGUCUCCGCCUCCACCAACCCCUACGUAUGUCUACAAGUCGCCCCCACCACCAACUCCAACCUAUGUUUACAAAUCACCGCCUCCUCCUACUCCGACCUACGUCUACAAGUCGCCGCCUCCUCCUACCCCAACUUAUGUUUACAAGUCGCCACCACCUCCAACACACACUCCUACACCAUACUACUACCAUUCUCCACCACCACCAGUUAAAUCUCCUCCACCUCCAUAUUAUUACCAUUCGCCACCACCACCCGUAAAAUCUCCACCACCGCCAUAUUAUUAUCAUUCACCACCCCCUCCGGUGAAAUCUCCUCCUCCUCCUUACUACUACCACUCUCCACCCCCUCCGGUGAAGUCUCCUCCUCCACCUUACUACUACCAGUCACCACCCCCUCCCGUAAAGUCACCACCACCACCAUAUUAUUACCAUUCACCACCUCCUCCGGUCAAAUCUCCUCCUCCACCCUACUAUUACCAUUCACCUCCUCCACCGAUGAAAUCUCCACCACCACCAUACUACUACCACUCACCACCUCCUCCAGUCAAAUCUCCUCCUCCACCGUACUAUUACCAUUCACCUCCUCUACCGGUGAAAUCUCCACCACCACCAUACUACUACCAUUCACCACCUCCUCCUGUCAAAUUUCCUCCUCCACCAUACUAUUACCACUCACCACCCCCACCGGUCAAAUCCCCUCCACCACCUUACUACUACCACUCACCACCCCCACCGGUCAAAUCUCCUCCUCCACCAUACUACUACCACUCCCCACCCCCACCGGUCAAAUCUCCUCCACCACCUUACUACUACCACUCACCACCCCCACCGGUCAAAUCUCCUCCACCACCCUAUUACUACCACUCACCACCUCCACCGGUGAAGUCGCCACCACCGCCAUACUAUUACCAUUCACCACCCCCACCGGUCAAAUCUCCUCCACCACCCUAUUACUACCAUUCACCACCUCCACCGGUGAAAUCGCCACCACCGCCAUAUUAUUACCACUCACCACCCCCACCGGUCAAAUCUCCUCCUCCACCAUACUACUAUCACUCACCGCCCCCUCCAAUGAAAUCUCCUCCACCACCAUAUGUUUACCAUUCACCACCUCCACCCAUGAAAUCUCCUCCUCCACCAUACUACUAUCACUCACCACCUCCACCAGUAAAGUCUCCACCACCACCACCAUAUUAUUACCAUUCACCACCUCCUCCAGUAAAAUCUCCUCCUCCACCAUACUACUACCAUUCACCACCUCCUCCGGUGAAGUCUCCACCACCGCCAUACCAUUACAACUCUCCACCACCACCAGUAAAAUCUCCCCCACCUCCAGUAUACAUCUACGCCUCUCCUCCACCUCCUACCCAUUACUAGGCUCAUCAAAUUCAACCAAAUUUCCCCAUUAUUCAAGUAAAGUCCCAACGCUUCAACAUUUUCAAUAUGCUUCAUAUCCAUAUCGAUAGAACUUUGUCUCAUUAUCUCAAUUUCUUCUUCGCAGG
rnacentral:lncRNA from 1 species